AACUUCUGUUGGACCUCUGAGUGCCAACGGGCGUUCGAAGAACUGAGGAGCUACCUCGGCUCACCCCCGCUGCUGGCAAGGCCGGAGCCUAGGGAGGAACUGUUUUAUACCUGGAGGUCUCUCCUAUGGCUCUCACGGCAGUCCUUGUCAAAGAAGAAGCAAAAGUCCAACGGCCAAUCUACUACGUCAGUCCUAAGAGACCC
rnacentral:lncRNA from 1 species